UAGUCGGAACUGUGCCUGCCGUCGGGCGGUGCAGCAGAACCGGUACAUACUGGGCACGGGUGGGGUCUCAGAUUGGAGAAACCGGCCCUGCUUCCAGCACAUUACCCACUAGCUGGCUGCUUGGGAUCCCGAGCUGCACGGACGCCCGAGGGUCACGCCACCGGGAAAAGGAACAGGAGAGGAAGGCUUCUCCGCUGAGCAAGGUCGGAGCCUGGCAUGGCCCGGCACCGGCCGUACCGGCACCGGCUGCUGGGGGCCGCCCGCUCCGCCCCGGCGCUCACCUGUAGGCGCUGAGGAGCGCCUUGUUGACCAGCACGUUCAAGCGAGAGGAAAAGAGACUUCCCUUCUCAUCUGAAUUUCCUGACUUCUAACGAGAGGAAGAAGUUAAAGCAAGCAGAGACUGCUCCUUCUAUCUACUGUCGCAGGGGUGCCACAGCUAAGUUUGCCAGCUCAAUGAGUGCCAGCGCGCCAUGCAUGCGUUCACGCUGCUCCUGGAGGCGACGGUGGCGG